rnacentral:rRNA from 1 species
AACGCUAGCUACAGGCUUAACACAUGCAAGUCGAGGGGCAGCAUGGUCUUAGCUUGCUAAGGCCGAUGGCGACCGGCGCACGGGUGAGUAACACGUAUCCAACCUGCCGUCUACUCUUGGACAGCCUUCUGAAAGGAAGAUUAAUACAAGAUGGCAUCAUGAGUCCGCAUGUUCACAUGAUUAAAGGUAUUCCGGUAGACGAUGGGGAUGCGUUCCAUUAGAUAGUAGGCGGGGUAACGGCCCACCUAGUCUUCGAUGGAUAGGGGUUCUGAGAGGAAGGUCCCCCACAUUGGAACUGAGACACGGUCCAAACUCCUACGGGAGGCAGCAGUGAGGAAUAUUGGUCAAUGGGCGAGAGCCUGAACCAGCCAAGUAGCGUGAAGGAUGACUGCCCUAUGGGUUGUAAACUUCUUUUAUAAAGGAAUAAAGUCGGGUAUGCAUACCCGUUUGCAUGUACUUUAUGAAUAAGGAUCGGCUAACUCCGUGCCAGCAGCCGCGGUAAUACGGAGGAUCCGAGCGUUAUCCGGAUUUAUUGGGUUUAAAGGGAGCGUAGAUGGAUGUUUAAGUCAGUUGUGAAAGUUUGCGGCUCAACCGUAAAAUUGCAGUUGAUACUGGAUAUCUUGAGUGCAGUUGAGGCAGGCGGAAUUCGUGGUGUAGCGGUGAAAUGCUUAGAUAUCACGAAGAACUCCGAUUGCGAAGGCAGCCUGCUAAGCUGCAACUGACAUUGAGGCUCGAAAGUGUGGGUAUCAAACAGGAUUAGAUACCCUGGUAGUCCACACGGUAAACGAUGAAUACUCGCUGUUUGCGAUAUACGGCAAGCGGCCAAGCGAAAGCGUUAAGUAUUCCACCUGGGGAGUACGCCGGCAACGGUGAAACUCAAAGGAAUUGACGGGGGCCCGCACAAGCGGAGGAACAUGUGGUUUAAUUCGAUGAUACGCGAGGAACCUUACCCGGGCUUAAAUUGCAGAUGAAUUACGGUGAAAGCCGUAAGCCGCAAGGCAUCUGUGAAGGUGCUGCAUGGUUGUCGUCAGCUCGUGCCGUGAGGUGUCGGCUUAAGUGCCAUAACGAGCGCAACCCUUGUUGUCAGUUACUAACAGGUUCCGCUGAGGACUCUGACAAGACUGCCAUCGUAAGAUGUGAGGAAGGUGGGGAUGACGUCAAAUCAGCACGGCCCUUACGUCCGGGGCUGCACACGUGUUACAAUGGGGGGUACAGAGGGCCGCUACCACGCGAGUGGAUGCCAAUCCCCAAAACCUCUCUCAGUUCGGACUGGAGUCUGCAACCCGACUCCACGAAGCUGGAUUCGCUAGUAAUCGCGCAUCAGCCACGGCGCGGUGAAUACGUUCCCGGGCCUUGUACACACCGCCCGUCAAGCCAUGGGAGCCGGGGGUACCUGAAGUGCGUAACCGCGAGGAGCGCCCUAGGGUAAAACUGGUGACUGGGG